rnacentral:rRNA from 1 species
GAUGAACGCUGGCGGCGUGCCUAAUACAUGCAAGUCGAGCGAAUGGAUUAAGAGCUUGCUCUUAUGAAGUUAGCGGCGGACGGGUGAGUAACACGUGGGUAACCUGCCCAUAAGACUGGGAUAACUCCGGGAAACCGGGGCUAAUACCGGAUAACAUUUUGAACCGCAUGGUUCGAAAUUGAAAGGCGGCUUCGGCUGUCACUUAUGGAUGGACCCGCGUCGCAUUAGCUAGUUGUUGAGGUAACGGCUCACCAAGGCAACGAUGCGUGUCCGACCUGAGAGGGUGAUCGGCCACACUGGGACUGAGACACGGCCCAGACUCCUACGGGAGGCAGCAGUAGGGAAUCUUCCGCAAUGGACGAAAGUCUGACGGAGCAACGCCGCGUGAGUGAUGAAGGCUUUCGGGUCGUAAAACUCUGUUGUUAGGGAAGAACAAGUGCUAGUUGAAUAAGCUGGCACCUUGACGGUACCUAACCAGAAAGCCACGGCUAACUACGUGCCAGCCGCCGCCGUAA